GGGCGUUAAGUUGCAGGGUAUAGACCCGAAACCCGGUGAUCUAGCCAUGGGCAGGUUGAAGGUUGGGUAACACUAACUGGAGGACCGAACCGACUAAUGUUGAAAAAUUAGCGGAUGACCUGUGGCUGGGGGUGAAAGGCCAAUCAAACCGGGAGAUAGCUGGUUCUCCCCGAAAGCUAUUUAGGUAGCGCCUCGUGAAUUCAUCUCCGGGGGUAGAGCACUGUUUCGGCUAGGGGGCCAUCCCGGCUUACCAACCCGAUGCAAACUGCGAAUACCGGAGAAUGUUAUCACGGGAGACACACGGCGGGUGCUAACGUCCGUCGUGAAGAGGGAAACAACCCAGACCGCCAGCUAAGGUCCCAAAGUCAUGGUUAAGUGGGAAACGAUGUGGGAAGGCCCAGACAGCCAGGAUGUUGGCUUAGAAGCAGCCAUCAUUUAAAGAAAGCGUAAUAGCUCACUGGUCGAGUCGGCCUGCGCGGAAGAUGUAACGGGGCUAAACCAUGCACCGAAGCUGCGGCAGCGACGCUGAUGCGUUGUUGGGUAGGGGAGCGUUCUGUAAGCCUGUGAAGGUGGCCUGUGAGGGUUGCUGGAGGUAUCAGAAGUGCGAAUGCUGACAUAAGUAACGAUAAAGCGGGUGAAAAGCCCGCUCGCCGGAAGACCAAGGGUUCCUGUCCAACGUUAAUCGGGGCAGGGUGAGUCGACCCCUAAGGCGAGGCCGAAAGGCGUAGUCGAUGGGAAACGGGUUAAUAUUCCCGUACUUGGUGUUACUGCGAAGGGGGGACGGAGAAGGCUAUGUUGGCCGGGCGACGGUUGUCCCGGUUUAAGCGUGUAGGUGUGUGUUCCAGGUAAAUCCGGUUCACUUUAACACUGAGGCGUGAUGACGAGGCACUACGGUGCUGAAGCAACAAAUGCCCUGCUUCCAGGAAAAGCCUCUAAGCAUCAGGUAACAUCAAAUCGUACCCCAAACCGACACAGGUGGUCAGGUAGAGAAUACCAAGGCGCUUGAGAGAACUCGGGUGAAGGAACUAGGCAAAAUGGUGCCGUAACUUCGGGAGAAGGCACGCUGACACGUAGGUGAAGUGAUUUACUCAUGGAGCUGAAGUCAGUCGAAGAUACCAGCUGGCUGCAACUGUUUAUUAAAAACACAGCACUGUGCAAACACGAAAGUGGACGUAUACGGUGUGACGCCUGCCCGGUGCCGGAAGGUUAAUUGAUGGGGUCAGCGCAAGCGAAGCUCCUGAUCGAAGCCCCGGUAAACGGCGGCCGUAACUAUAACGGUCCUAAGGUAGCGAAAUUCCUUGUCGGGUAAGUUCCGACCUGCACGAAUGGCGUAAUGAUGGCCAGGCUGUCUCCACCCGAGACUCAGUGAAAUUGAACUCGCUGUGAAGAUGCAGUGUACCCGCGGCAAGACGGAAAGACCCCGUGAACCUUUACUAUAGCUUGACACUGAACAUUGAGCCUUGAUGUGUAGGAUAGGUGGGAGGCUUUGAAGUGUGGACGCCAGUCUGCAUGGAGCCGGCCUUGAAAUACCACCCUUUAAUGUUUGAUGUUCUAACGUGGACCCGUGAUCCGGGUUGCGGACAGUGUCUGGUGGGUAGUUUGACUGGGGCGGUCUCCUCCUAAAGAGUAACGGAGGAGCACGAAGGUUGGCUAAUCCUGGUCGGACAUCAGGAGGUUAGUGCAAUGGCAUAAGCCAGCUUGACUGCGAGCGUGACGGCGCGAGCAGGUGCGAAAGCAGGUCAUAGUGAUCCGGUGGUUCUGAAUGGAAGGGCCAUCGCUCAACGGAUAAAAGGUACUCCGGGGAUAACAGGCUGAUACCGCCCAAGAGUUCAUAUCGACGGCGGUGUUUGGCACCUCGAUGUCGGCUCAUCACAUCCUGGGGCUGAAGUAGGUCCCAAGGGUAUGGCUGUUCGCCAUUUAAAGUGGUACGCGAGCUGGGUUUAGAACGUCGUGAGACAGUUCGGUCCCUAUCUGCCGUGGGCGCUGGAGAACUGAGGGGGGCUGCUCCUAGUACGAGAGGACCGGAGUGGACGCAUCACUGGUGUUCGGGUUGUCAUGCCAAUGGCACUGCCCGGUAGCUAAAUGCGGAAGAGAUAAGUGCUGAAAGCAUCUAAGCACGAAACUUGCCCCGAGAUGAGUUCUCCCUGAGACUUAGAGUCUCCUGAAGGAACGUUGAAGACGACGACGUUGAUAGGCCGGGUGUGUAAGCGCAGCGAUGCGUUGAGCUAACCGGUACUAAUGAACCGUGAGGCUUAACCUUACAACGCCGAAG
rnacentral:rRNA from 2 species